rnacentral:snRNA from 2 species
AGCUUUGCGCAGUGGCAUUACCUUAGCUGAUGAGGUCCAUCCGAGGCGCGGUUAUUGCUGAUUGAAAACUUUUCCCAAUACCCCGCAGACCACCUGAAGCAUAGUCGGCUUUGCAAUUUUUGUGGGCCCUACUUAGGG